CCCCUCUCAGGGUCACACCUGGAGAGUUUCCAGUACUCUACCAAUCUAGUAUAUGGGAGGGAGAGUCAGGCAGAGGUCUAUCCAUUCCAUUCCUAGCUUGGGCAUUGGCUAGAGAGUGGAAGGAAAACUGCUAGAAGU